rnacentral:rRNA from 1 species
UACGUAGGGUGCAAGCGUUGUCCGGAAUUAUUGGGCGUAAAGGGUGCGUAGGCGGGUCUUUAAGUCAGGGGUGAAAUCCUGGAGCUCAACUCCAGAACUGCCUUUGAUACUGAGGAUCUUGAGUUCGGGAGAGGUGAGUGGAACUGCGAGUGUAGAGGUGAAAUUCGUAGAUAUUGGGAAGAACACCGGUGGCGAAGGCGGCUCACUGGCUCAUUACUGACGCUCAGGCGCGAUAGCGUGGGGAUCAAACAGG